GUAAGAUUAAAAGACGCGCGUUAUCUUCUUAUGAGCACGUGUUCUACAGCGUUAUCCUCCAUUUCUCUUUUCGUCCCAUUUCUGUCUCUAUCGUUUUCUCUCUCCUUCCUAGAUCUAGGGUUUUCUCUGUCUCCUCAUGCUCCUUGAGAGAUUCACCUAGAGGAAGAUGGUUUGGUUGAGUUACACAAAUCGGCGGGGUUACGAGACCGAGGAGUGAA